UACGGAGGGGGCUAGCGUUGUUCGGAAUUACUGGGCGUAAAGCGCGCGUAGGCGGACCUGCAAGUCGGGGGUGAAAGCCCGAGGCUCAACCUCGGAACUGCCUUUGAUACUGCGGGUCUCGAGUCCGGGAGAGGUGAGUGGAAUUCCUAGUGUAGAGGUGAAAUUCGUAGAUAUUAGGAAGAACACCAGUGGCGAAGGCGGCUCACUGGCCCGGUACUGACGCUGAGGCGCGAAAGCGUGGGGAGCAAACAGG
rnacentral:rRNA from 1 species